GUGGGGGCACCACCACGGGAAGUGCCGAUGGUGCCAUCGAGAAAGCCACCGAUUGCAUCGCUGAAGGAGAUGCAGGGGCAGCCUGAGCAAGCUAUGGCACCGUUGGGGGAGGCGCCAAAGUAGUCUGGACAACUUGAACGAUGGCCGUCAAGUUUUGGACCUACUGGAAGAGCAGGCUGAAUUGAUCCGCUAUGACCAGUGCAGGUU
rnacentral:lncRNA from 1 species